AUGGCAAUUUUACACGUGUAUUGUUUUUCUAUUUUGGUGUAUGGAUUGCAUUUUUGGACUGAUGUAAUAGGCUGGAUGACAAGGUCUUUUGGCACCUUUUGCAUGGUUGGAAAUUGGCUUCUUGUAGCAGGUUUGGCAGGGCAGCAUUGCAGGUUUUUUUGCAGAGAUAGGGAUUGGUUUUAUGGACUAAUAUGCAGAGGAAAACAACAGUAG